rnacentral:lncRNA from 1 species
UGACCUCCCCUCUCCUUGCAGCCCUCGCCCGCACCUUCUCCAACACCCCGGCAUCCCUGCACCACCUGCUCGGGCAGCCCCGGCGGGCUCUGGGACUUGCUGUGCGCGCCGAGAGGAAGGCAAGCUCCGAACCCGCGUCUGGCUGACGGGCUGUCGCGGCUGCACCACCAGCAGGAGGAGGAGAAGAAACUAUUUCGCCCACCGAAACCCCUUUCUGCGGGUGCUUCGCAGCUGCCGCUUCUGCUGCCUCCAAUCCAGAGAAGGGACCAUGAUUUGGAAACGCAGCGCCGUUCUCCGCUUCUACAGUGUCUGCGGGCUCCUGCUACAAGACUCCGGUGAAGUCCAAAAGAAAGCCAACAGAAGAACUCACAGAAUGAAUGCCAUGGCUCUCCCGCCCCACCCUCCAAUCCCCUCACCAAGUUUUUCCAGAAAAGAGGACUA